GUGUCAGCAGCCGCGGUAAGACGGAGGGUGCAAGCGUUGUUCGGAAUUACUAGGCGUAAAGAGCGUGUAGGUGGUUAGCUAAGUCGGAUGUGAAAAUUCCGAGCUCAACUCGGAACCUGCAUUCGAAACUGGUUAACUUGAGUGUGGGAGAGGAGAGUGGAAUUCCUAGUGUAGCGGUGAAAUGCGUAGAUAUUAGGAAGAACACCAGUGGCGAAGGCGACUCUCUGGCCUAAAACUGACACUGAGACGCGAAAGCGUGGGGAGCGAACAGGAUUAGAUACCCUGGUAGUCCACGCUGUAAACGAUGGGCAUUAGGUGUAGGAGGUAUCCAAUCCUUCUGUGCCGAAGCUAACGCAUUAAAUGCCCCGCCUGGGGAGUACGGUCGCAAGGCUGAAACUCAAAGGAAUUGGCGGGG
rnacentral:rRNA from 1 species